rnacentral:rRNA from 1 species
CUACGGGACGCUCCAGGCGCGAAACCUCCACAAUGCACGAAAGUGUGAUGGGGGAAUCCUACGUGCUCAUGUCUAACAUGGGCUUUUGCCAAGAGUAGAUACCUUGGCGAAUAAGGGGUGGGCAAGACCGGUGCCAGCCGCCGCGGUAACACCGGCGCCCCAAGUGGCGAAUCGCGAUUAUUGGGCCUAAAGCGCCCGUAGCCGGAUAAAUAAAUCCGCUGUGAAAUCGUUGCGCUCAACGUAACGGCGUGCAGUGGACACUGUUUAUCUUGAGACCGGGAGGAGUCAGACGUAUGCCGUGGGGACUGGUAAAAUGGUAUAAUCCACGGUAGACGACCGAUGGCGAAGGCAUCUGACCAGAACGGAUCUGACGGUGAGGGACGAAAGCCAGGGGAGCGAACCGGAUUAGAUACCCCGGUAGUC